rnacentral:rRNA from 1 species
AAAUUGAAGAGUUUGAUCAUGGCUCAGAUUGAACGCUGGCGGCAGGCCUAACACAUGCAAGUCGAGCGGAAACGAGUUAUCUGAACCUUCGGGGAAGGAUAACGGCGUCGAGCGGCGGACGGGUGAGUAAUGCCUAGGAAAUUGCCCUGAUGUGGGGGAUAACCAUUGGAAACGAUGGCUAAUACCGCAUGAUGCCUACGGGCCAAAGAGGGGGACCUUCGGGCCUCUCGCGUCAGGAUAUGCCUAGGUGGGAUUAGCUAGUUGGUGAGGUAAGGGCUCACCAAGGCGACGAUCCCUAGCUGGUCUGAGAGGAUGAUCAGCCACACUGGAACUGAGACACGGUCCAGACUCCUACGGGAGGCAGCAGUGGGGAAUAUUGCACAAUGGGCGCAAGCCUGAUGCAGCCAUGCCGCGUGUGUGAAGAAGGCCUUCGGGUUGUAAAGCACUUUCAGUCGUGAGGAAGGUAGUGUAGUUAAUAGCUGCAUAUUUGACGUUAGCGACAGAAGAAGCACCGGCUAACUCCGUGCCAGCAGCCGCGGUAAUACGAGGGUGCGAGCGUUAAUCGGAAUUACUGGGCGUAAAGCGCAUGCAGGUGGUUUGUUAAGUCAGAUGUGAAAGCCCGGGGCUCAACCUCGGAAUUGCAUUUGAAACUGGCAGACUAGAGUACUGUAGAGGGGGGUAGAAUUUCAGGUGUAGCGGUGAAAUGCGUAGAGAUCUGAAGGAAUACCGGUGGCGAAGGCGGCCCCCUGGACAGAUACUGACACUCAGAUGCGAAAGCGUGGGGAGCAAACAGGAUUAGAUACCCUGGUAGUCCACGCCGUAAACGAUGUCUACUUGGAGGUUGUGGCCUUGAGCCGUGGCUUUCGGAGCUAACGCGUUAAGUAGACCGCCUGGGGAGUACGGUCGCAAGAUUAAAACUCAAAUGAAUUGACGGGGGCCCGCACAAGCGGUGGAGCAUGUGGUUUAAUUCGAUGCAACGCGAAGAACCUUACCUACUCUUGACAUCCAGAGAACUUUCCAGAGAUGGAUUGGUGCCUUCGGGAACUCUGAGACAGGUGCUGCAUGGCUGUCGUCAGCUCGUGUUGUGAAAUGUUGGGUUAAGUCCCGCAACGAGCGCAACCCUUAUCCUUGUUUGCCAGCGAGUAAUGUCGGGAACUCCAGGGAGACUGCCGGUGAUAAACCGGAGGAAGGUGGGGACGACGUCAAGUCAUCAUGGCCCUUACGAGUAGGGCUACACACGUGCUACAAUGGCGCAUACAGAGGGCGGCCAACUUGCGAAAGUGAGCGAAUCCCAAAAAGUGCGUCGUAGUCCGGAUUGGAGUCUGCAACUCGACUCCAUGAAGUCGGAAUCGCUAGUAAUCGUGGAUCAGAAUGCCACGGUGAAUACGUUCCCGGGCCUUGUACACACCGCCCGUCACACCAUGGGAGUGGGCUGCAAAAGAAGUAGGUAGUUUAACCUUCGGGGGGACGCUUACCACUUUGUGGUUCAUGACUGGGGUGAAGUCGUAACAAGGUAGCGCUAGGGGAACCUGGCGCUGGAUCACCUCCUUAAACGAUGAU